rnacentral:rRNA from 1 species
UAAAUAGCCAGGCCGGCUUCGGCUGGUCGUCGGCUUCUUAGAGGGACUAACGGCGUUUAGCCGUUGGAAGUUUGAGGCAAUAACAGGCCUGUGAUGCCCUUAGAUGUUCUGGGCCGCACGCGCGCUACACUGACUGAGCCAGCGAGUUCACCGCCUUGUCCGAGAGG